ensembl:rRNA 5S_rRNA 5S ribosomal RNA
UAUGCUGGCAACUAGCUCCCUGCAGCUCUCACAUGGUCGCCCACUGAAGCUAAGCAGGGCUGCCCCCGGUCAGUACCUGGAUAGGAGACUACAUGGGAAAGCUAGGUCGCUGACGGAA